CAAAGGACCCCACCUCCUAGUACCAUCACACUAGGAUUCGGGUUUUAUCAUACUAAUUUUAUGGGGACGCAUUCAGUCCAUUGCAGCCAUCAAGAUUCCUGGCCCCUGGUAUACACAGGCCUUCUCUCAGUUAUUCAGUCAAACACUAAUCCAGGAGUCUAUAGUCAUCCUACAGGAAAUUGUAUCAAAAUUAAAGAAGACUGAGUUAAUUUAUUGUACUGCCAGGAAUUGUGCUGAGAAUGUGAAUGAAAGGACAAAAGACACAUUUUGUGGCUUUGAAAAUUUCAGAUGGGACCAUUGACUGAUGUCCUAAACACCAUUCUGAAGCUCUAAUAGUGUCUAGUGUAAACUGUGAAAUAUUGAUACAUUUCCUCUUACAAUGAGUGACAUUAUUUGAUCCCUAACCGUGGACAUCAUUGUGGAAAUUCACCUCCACCCCAUCCUCACCUCAUCAAGUCCCUAGCAUUCCAACACUAUAAUGUCUACUUCUGCAGCUGAUAUUCUGAUUUCUAGAAUGUGUUUGUCAAAUAUUAUAUCUGU